rnacentral:sRNA from 1 species
CUUGGUCAUUUAGAGGAAGUAAAAGUCGUAACAAGGUUUCCGUAGGUGAACCUGCGGAAGGAUCAUUCAUAAUAAGUGUUUAUGGCACUUCUUAAAUCCAUAUCCACCUUGUGUGCAAUGUCAGCCGUUUUCUUUAUGAAAGCGGCCAAACAUCAACUUAUUUUUUAACUGUCUGUCCGAAAACUAUUAUGAAUAAACAAUUCAAAUACAACUUUCAACAACGGAUCUCUUGGCUCUCGCAUCGAUGAAGAACGCAGCGAAAUGCGAUACGUAAUGUGAAUUGCAGAAUUCAGUGAAUCAUCGAAUCUUUGAACGCAUAUUGCGCUCUUUGGUAUUCCGAAGAGCAUGCUUGUUUGAGUAUCAGUAAACACCUCAAAGCCUUCAAUUCAGUUUGAAAGCUUUGGACUUGAGCAAUCCCAACAUCAGUCUCGCGACUGACGGAGGGCUGCUUGAAAUGCAGGUGCAGCUGGACAUCCUUCUGAGCUAUAAGCAUAUUUAUUUAGUCCCGUCAAACGGAUUAUUACUUUUGCUGCAGCUAACAUAAAGGGAGUCUGACCGUAUUGGCUGACUGAUGCAGGAUUUCACAAGGGCUGGCAACAGCUUCUUGUAAAACUCGAUCUCAAAUCAAGUAAGACUACCCGCUGAACUUAAGCAUAUCAAUAAGCGGAGGAAAAGAAACUAACAAGGAUUCCCCUAGUAACGGCGAGUGAAGCGGGAUGAGCUCAAAUUUAAAAUCUGGCUGGUUUACUAGUCCGAAUUGUAGUUUAUAGAAGCGUUUUCGGUGGCAGCCUGGGUAUAAAUCCUUUGGAAUAGGGUAUCAUAGAGGGUGAGAAUCCCGUCUUUGACUCAGUGCAUGCUACUAUGUGAUACGUUUUCAAAGAGUCGAGUUGUUUGGGAAU